rnacentral:rRNA from 1 species
GUGUCAGCAGCCGCGGUAAUACGUAGGGUCCGAGCGUUGUCCGGAAUUAUUGGGCGUAAAGGGCUCGUAGGCGGUUUGUCGCGUCGGGAGUGAAAACACCGGGCUUAACUCGGUGCUUGCUUUCGAUACGGGCAGACUGGAGGUAUGCAGGGGAGAACGGAAUUCCUGGUGUAGCGGUGAAAUGCGCAGAUAUCAGGAGGAACACCGGUGGCGAAGGCGGUUCUCUGGGCAUUACCUGACGCUGAGGAGCGAAAGUGUGGGGAGCGAACAGGAUUAGAUACCCCCGUAGUCC